AAUUCAUGUUGAGGAAAAUUUCUUAGAAGGCCAUUGUAUCUCUCCUAAGCUUCGUAUAAGGACUCUCCAGUUUCUUGUUGGAAGUUAACAAUCUUCUUAUGUAGUU